rnacentral:rRNA from 1 species
GACGAACGCUGGCGGCGUGCUUAACACAUGCAAGUCGAGCGGAAAGGCUCCUUCGGGGGUACUCGAGCGGCGAACGGGUGAGUAACACGUGAGUAAUCUGCCCUUCACUUCGGGAUAGCCACCGGAAACGGUGAUUAAUACCGGAUAUGACCUGGCCUCGCAUGGGGUUGGGUGGAAAGUUUUUUCGGUGGGGGAUGUGCUCGCGGCCUAUCAGCUUGUUGGUGGGGUAAUGGCUCACCAAGGCUUCGACGGGUAGCCGGCCUGAGAGGGUGACCGGCCACACUGGGACUGAGACACGGCCCAGACUCCUACGGGAGGCAGCAGUGGGGAAUAUUGGACAAUGGGCGGAAGCCUGAUCCAGCAACGCCGCGUGAGGGAUGACGGCCUUCGGGUUGUAAACCUCUUUCGCCAUUGACGAAGCCGCACUUUGGUGUGGUGACGGUAGGUGGAGAAGAAGCACCGGCCAACUACGUGCCAGCCGCCGCCGUAACAC